GUGCCAGCCGCCGCGGUAAUACGGAGGAUCCAAGCGUUAUCCGGAAUCAUUGGGUUUAAAGGGUCCGUAGGCGGGACAAUAAGUCAGCGGUGAAAGUCUGUGGCUCAACCAUAGAAUUGCCAUUGAUACUGUUGUUCUUGAGUGUUUAUGAAGUGGUUAGAAUAUGUAGUGUAGCGGUGAAAUGCUUAGAUAUUACAUGGAAUACCGAUUGCGAAGGCAGAUCACUAAUAAAAUACUGACGCUGAUGGACGAAAGCGUAGGUAGCGAACAGGAUUAGAUACCCUGGUAGUCUACGCCGUAAACGAUGGUUACUAGCUGUUCGGAAGUAAUUCUGAGUGGCUAAGCGAAAGUGAUAAGUAACCCACCUGGGGAGUACGUUCGCAAGAAUGAAACUCAAAGGAAUUGACGGGGGCCCGCACAAGCGGUGGAGCAUGUGGUUUAAUUCGAUGAUACGCGAGGAACCUUACCAGGGCUUAAAUGUAGCUUGACCGAUUUGGAAACAGAUCUUUCGCAAGACAAGUUACAAGGUGCUGCAUGGUUGUCGUCAGCUCGUGCCGUGAGGUGUCAGGUUAAGUCCUAUAACGAGCGCAACCCCUGUUGUUAGUUGCCAGCGAGUAAUGUCGGGAACUCUAACAAGACUGCCGGUGCAAACCGUGAAGGAGGUGGGGAUGACGUCAAAUCAUCACGGCCCUUACGUCCUGGGCCACACACGUGCUACAAUGUAGGACAGAUAGCAGCCACUGGGUGACAGGAGCGAUCUACAACCCUAUCUCAGUUCGAUCGGAGUUCUGCACUCGACUCGUGAAGCUGGAAUCGCUAGUAAUCGCAUAUCAGCAUGAAUGCGGGGAAUACCUUCCGAGGCCCUGUGCAC
rnacentral:rRNA from 1 species